rnacentral:tRNA from 1 species
GGAGAGAUGGCUCAAUGGUUAAGUACACUGGCUGUCCUUCUAAAGGACCUGGGUUCAAUUCCUGGUCCCUCCA